UUGUAUGAUUUCGGUGCUUCGUUGAGAA
rnacentral:sRNA from 1 species